AUUGAACGCUGGCGGCAGGCCUAACACAUGCAAGUCGAACGGUAACAGGAAGCAGCUUGCUGCUUCGCUGACGAGUGGCGGACGGGUGAGUAAUGUCUGGGAAGCUGCCUGAUGGAGGGGGAUAACUACUGGAAACGGUAGCUAAUACCGCAUAAUGUCGCAAGACCAAAGAGGGGGACCUUCGGGCCUCUUGCCAUCGGAUGUGCCCAGAUGGGAUUAGCUUGUUGGUGGGGUAACGGCUCACCAAGGCGACGAUCCCUAGCUGGUCUGAGAGGAUGACUAGCCACACUGGGACUGAGACACGGUCCAGACUCCUACGGGAGGCAGCAGUGGGGAAUAUUGCACAAUGGGCGCAAGCCUGAUGCAGCCAUGCCGCGUGUAUGAAGAAGGCCUUCGGGUUGUAAAGUACUUUCAGCGGGGAGGAAGGGAGUAAAGUUAAUACCUUUGCUCAUUGACGUUACCCGCAGAAGAAGCACCGGCUAACUCCGUG
rnacentral:rRNA from 1 species